rnacentral:rRNA from 1 species
UGACUCUGCGCCGAAAAUGUACCGGGGCUAAACGUAUCACCGAAGCUGCGGACUGUUCUAACGAACAGUGGUAGGAGAGCGUUCUAAGUGCUGUGAAGUCAGACCGGAAGGACUGGUGGAGCGCUUAGAAGUGAGAAUGCCGGUAUGAGUAGCGAAAGACGGGUGAGAAUCCCGUCCACCGAAUGCCUAAGGUUUCCUGAGGAAGGCUCGUCCGCUCAGGGUUAGUCGGGACCUAAGCCGAGGCCGAAAGGCGUAGGCGAUGGACAACAGGUUGAUAUUCCUGUACCACCUCCUCACCAUUUGAGCAAUGGGGGGACGCAGGAGGAUAGGGUAAGCGCGGUAUUGGAUAUCCGCGUCCAAGCAGUUAGGCUGGGAAAUAGGCAAAUCCGUUUCCCGUGAAGGCUGAGCUGUGAUGGCGAGCGAAAUUUAGUAGCGAAGUUCCUGAUUCCACACUGCCAAGAAAAGCCUCUAGCGAGGUGAGAGGUGCCCGUACCGCAAACCGACACAGGUAGGCGAGGAGAGAAUCCUAAGGUGAUCGAGAGAACUCUCGUUAAGGAACUCGGCAAAAUGACCCCGUAACUUCGGGAGAAGGGGUGCUUCUUAGGGUGUUAAAGCCCCGAGAAGCCGCAGUGAAUAGGCCCAGGCGACUGUUUAGCAAAAACACAGGUCUCUGCGAAGCCGUAAGGCGAAGUAUAGGGGCUGACGCCUGCCCGGUGCUGGAAGGUUAAGAGGAGCGCUUAGCGUAAGCGAAGGUGCGAAUUGAAGCCCCAGUAAACGGCGGCCGUAACUAUAACGGUCCUAAGGUAGCGAAAUUCCUUGUCGGGUAAGUUCCGACCCGCACGAAAGGCGCAACGAUCUGGGCACUGUCUCAACGAGAGACUCGGUGAAAUUAUAGUACCUGUGAAGAUGCAGGUUACCCGCGACAGGACG